ACGGGAGGCAGCAGUGGGGGAUAUUGCACAAUGGGGGAAACCCUGAUGCAGCGACGCCGCGUGAGUGAAGAAGUAUUUCGGUAUGUAAAGCUCUAUCAGCAGGGAAGAUAAUGACGGUACCUGACUAAGAAGCACCGGCUAAAUACGUGCCAGCAGCCGCGGUAAUACGUAUGGUGCAAGCGUUAUCCGGAUUUACUGGGUGUAAAGGGAGCGUAGACGGCAUGGCAAGUCCGAAGUGAAAGCCUGGGGCUCGACCCCGGAACUGCUUUGGAAACUGUUAAGCUAGAGUGCAGGAGAGGUAAGUGGAAUUCCUAGUGUAGCGGUGAAAUGCGUAGAUAUUAGGAGGAACACCAGUGGCGAAGGCGGCUUACUGGACUGUAACUGACGUUGAGGCUCGAAAGCGUGGGGAGCAAACAGGAUUAGAUACCCUGGUA
rnacentral:rRNA from 1 species